GAUCAUGGCUCAGGACGAACGCUGGCGGCGUGCUUAACACAUGCAAGUCGAACGGAGCACCCUUGAUUGAGGUUUCGGCCAAAUGAUAGGAAUGCUUAGUGGCGGACUGGUGAGUAACGCGUGAGGAACCUGCCUUUCAGAGGGGGACGAACAGUUGGAAACGACUGCUAAUACCGCAUGACGCAUUUUGUAUCGCAUGGUCGAAAUAGCCAAAGAAUUUAUUCG
rnacentral:rRNA from 1 species